rnacentral:piRNA from 1 species
AAGGAGUGAAGGAGGCCACCUGGAGGGGA